CCCGUUGAUCUCAGUGGAUAUUUCUUUCAAUAAGCAUUCACAGGUUUGCAGUGCAUCCCAGAGGGUUGCCAACAUCCCACUGCCCGAAUAAGGGACACAAGGGAGGGAGUAUGCUGGACUGGAGCAAUUUGGGUCCUCCUGAGUACUGCUGAUGUGCUGCUUGAAAGAUGUCUUGGAGUUCUUCAGAAAAGGAGGAGAGAUCUUCCACGCAGUCAAGUGAAGGGUUUCCACACCUGGAUGGAGGAUCUGGUCUGCUGUGCAAGAUAGAAGGAGGAUUCAUUGAAUCAGUGGAACAGGAGGAAAACGGUGUCCAAUGGCCGCUGAAGUAGAGGACACUCAUAUGUGUUCCCCAGCCAUGUUCUGAUGUAUCUGUGGUAAUCACCCAACUCGGCAGAGGCAAGUGGAAAGUGUUGGUGGAUUUAGGAAAAAGCACAGACUGCCCCUUUGGGUAUUGAAUGCGUCCAGAUACCAUCUCUGUAGGAUUGCAUCCUGUCAAGCAUGGGGAAGCACAUAGUUGGUGGCAGCCAUGUGCCUAACUAGACGCUGAAUGUUUUUUAUUCAGUGCUUCAUUCCCUGCAUCACAUGCUCUGCCAAAGAGGCCAAGCUGUGUAUGUGAGCCUCUGGUAGAAAAACACAGCUCUGUUCCAUGUUGAAAAUCAGGUCUAUAAACUGUAUCCAUCAUAUUGGAAAUAACUGCAACUUCUCAUAGCUCACCUGGAAGCCCAAAGAUUCUAGAACAUUGAUAGUUCAUCCUACUGUGGCUGACACUUCUUGGGGAGAACCUUCAGCAAUGAUCCAGUCAUCUAGAAAUAGGAAGAUCCAGACUCCCAUUUGCUGCAAGGACGCUACUACUGAUGCCAUACACUUUGUCAAGACAAUCAGCACUGAA